rnacentral:rRNA from 1 species
UUUGAUCCUGGCUCAGGAUGAACGCUAGCGGCAGGCUUAACACAUGCAAGUCGAGGGGUAACGGGGAAGCUUGCUUCCGCCGACGACCGGCGCACGGGUGCGUAACGCGUAUACAAUCUACCUUGUACUGGGGUAUAGCCUUUAGAAAUGAAGAUUAAUCCCCCAUAGUCUCUUAGAGUGGCAUCACUUCUAGAGUAAAGGUUACGGUAUAAGAUGAGUAUGCGUUCUAUUAGUUUGUUGGUGUGGUAACGGCACACCAAGACUACGAUAGAUAGGGGCCCUGAGAGGGGGAUCCCCCACACUGGUACUGAGACACGGACCAGACUCCUACGGGAGGCAGCAGUGAGGAAUAUUGGACAAUGGAGGCAACUCUGAUCCAGCCAUGCCGCGUGCAGGAAGACUGCCCUAUGGGUUGUAAACUGCUUUUAUACAGGAAGAAACACCUCUACGUGUAGAGGCUUGACGGUACUGUAAGAAUAAGGAUCGGCUAACUCCGUGCCAGCAGCCGCGGUAAUACGGAGGAUCCAAGCGUUAUCCGGAAUCAUUGGGUUUAAAGGGUCCGUAGGUGGAUAAUUAAGUCAGAGGUGAAAUCUUGCAGCUCAACUGUAAAAUUGCCUUUGAAACUGGUUAUCUUGAGUUAUUAUGAAGUAGUUAGAAUAUGUAGUGUAGCGGUGAAAUGCAUAGAUAUUACAUAGAAUACCAAUUGCGAAGGCAGAUUACUAAUAAUCAACUGACACUGAUGGACGAAAGCGUGGGUAGCGAACAGGAUUAGAUACCCUGGUAGUCCACGCCGUAAACGAUGGUUACUAGCUGUUUGGACUUCGGUCUGAGUGGCUAAGCGAAAGUGAUAAGUAAC